GCGAGGGACGGCCGUGUGUGUGCGCAUGGCCCAGCUCCCAGCACGUCCUCCUGGCUGGGAGGGGCGUUCCCAUGAGAUGAGCCUGGGGCAGCGGAGGAGCAUCGAUGAUGCCCUCCGGACCCAGGAUGAGGAAGGAAGAACUGGAUGGGAGAGGAGAGCACGGCUGACACCGUCAGUGUGAAGUGCCUCGUGUGGGAGAAGAGACUGGGCCAGCAGCAGACAGAUAGGGAGCACAGGGACGUAGUUAACACCAGAAUGUCUGUUAGACAGUCGUGUUAUUGUCGAAAAGCUCUGUAAAUAAAUAGUUUGAUAUCUCUCA